rnacentral:rRNA from 1 species
CUUAUGACCUGGGCUACACACGUGCUACAAUGGAUAGUACAAAGGGUCGCGAAGCCGCGAGGUGGAGCUAAUCCCAUAAAACUAUUCUCAGUUCGGAUUGUAGGCUGCAACUCGCCUACAUGAAGCCGGAAUCGCUAGUAAUCGUGGAUCAGCAUGCCACGGUGAAUACGUUCCCGGGCCUUGUACACACCGCCCGUCACACCACGAGAGUUUGUAACACCCGAAGUCGGUAGGGUAACCUUUAUGGAGCCAGCCGCCGAAGGUGGGACAGAUAAUUGGGGUGAAGUCGUAACAAGGUAGCCGUAUCGGAAGGUGCGGCUGGAUCACCUCCUUUCUAAGGAA